ACACCACUGAUUUUUUUUCUCCUCGCGAUUAACGUACGCACGUUCUGUGAUUUCGCUCCAUAGUUUGAGAAAUCAGGAAGCUGCAGCAGUA